rnacentral:rRNA from 1 species
CAGUCGCCGCGGUAAUACGGAUGGUGCAAGCGUUAAUCGGAAUUACUGGGCGUAAAGCGCACGCAGGCGGUUUGUUAAGUCUGUUGUGAAAUCCCCGGGCUCAACCUGGGAAUGGCAAUGGAUACUGGCAAGCUAGAGUGUGUCAGAGGAUGGUGGAAUUCCCGGUGUAGCGGUGAAAUGCGUAGAGAUCGGGAGGAACAUCAGUGGCGAAGGCGGCCAUCUGGGACAACACUGACGCUGAGGCACGAAAGCGUGGGGAGCAAACAGGAUUAGAUACCCCGGUAGUCCCUGUCUCUUAUAC